UUUUGUCUGCCUUGCAAGGCUCCAACCACGGAGGAACUGCAAAUCCAGGUUAGCUGAUGGCUUGGAGUGUUUCAGCGGAGGAGGCCUUCUUUGGAGAUCCCAUCAGCUUUCCUUGAAGGAGAUAUAACAGUGGGUUCGUUCUCCUGCUGUUUGCUUUCACCAAGAUCACUUAUUCUGGGAGAAUCAAGUCCUGUUGCGAGCAGCGUUACGGAGAGCUCUAGAUGGUCCCCAAUUUCUUUCAAAGCAUCACUGUGCCCAGAAUAAAAACCAAACCAACCAACCAACCAAACAGAAUUUACCCAAGAAGAAAGUUUCCCAUUGUAAGAAUUCACCACAAUGUACUGAUCCAUUGUACUGAGGAUGGACAUUGGGGCUGCUUCUGGUGGAGCCACUAUGGACAACAGUGCUGUGAACAUUCAUAUACGUGCGAUAUGGGGCACGCGUACAAAUUACUCCAGGAUAUACAUCAAGGAACAGAAUUGCUGGUCACAAGUGGGUUUGUCUUCAACAAUGAGCCAUUCAUGGGCACCAGGGAGCUACCUAGGACCAGGGAGACGGCUGCAGGCCCUGCAGCCCGUCAGAGAAACACCCUGAGAAUGGCUGCAGUUUUCCUGUUUCUCUUGAGCCCCGGAGGAUUUCAAAGUCUCUUUCAAAAUGAAGAAUGGAUCUUUGGAGAUUGCAAAGUACUAGACGCCCACUGUGGGAAACGUUGCUUUUCCUACCCACCAUCCAUACUCCUUUUUCCGGUUGCUGACUGGGUAAAGUAUAAGUUGGCAGCUGUGGUGAUCAUCUUUGCUACCACAUGGGAAGAGUCAGUAAGAAUAUAGGCCACAGAGGAAAACUGAGCCAAAGUGACAGACCGCUGAUGACAUAGGGUGUAUACUGGACCCAACUAUGCCUGAAGCCUGGACCCUGACUUCUCAGUUAUGCUGAAUUCCUUUAAACAGCUCACAGUCAAGCAGAGAGACUGGUGUGAGUGCAAAGAAAUAUGGCAGGCACUGUGAGGAGAGUCUACUUUUGCCUGCCUGGGAAGACCCAAGGAAGAAGUGGCCAGUUGCUGUCUUAGCAGGAUGAAGAAAGAUCUCAUGGAAGAGGUGAUGCUAGAACUGUAUCUUCAAAGAUGAACAGAGGUUUUCAGCUAAAAAAAGUGUAGGAAAGACAGACCAGCCCAGCCUAGGAGAGAAAUGUCAACUGUGGACUAUUACCUGUCUUAAAAAUCUAUUACCUGCAGUAUGGAGAAGGCAGUUCAAUCUUGUAUGAUUAGCACAUGCCUGACUGGUAUGCUAUGCUGUCUAGAACAUAGAAACUUGUCGUCACACUUGUCGCCUCCUUCCUCCCUUCCCCAAAUUCAUAAAAUACUAUAAAAUUUUCUUGCUGGUAAGCAAGGCCAUAUAGAUGUUAGAGUUAAGUGUGGUGGGUAGACUCAGUAUUCCAUGUGUAAUCACCAGCUUGGGGGCUGUGAGUCAGUGGUGGGGAGACAGCAGCAUCAACAGCAGCACCAUCUGCCCUCCUUCUGGAUCAAAGUUAGAAUUGUACACCCUCGAAAUAAGUUGUCCAGUGGUGGCCCCCUGUCUUCCUCUUCAGCUCUUCCAAUAGUUUUGUAAGCUCCCCACUCCUUAUACUGAAUCCCUUUUGGCUGGAAAUACCUAGAGCAGGUCCUGGUGUCUGCACUGAAUUCUGACUGAUACGAUUCCCCACUGUGAGGUCUAGAAGGGCCAAGAGCUGUUUGUCUUGUUCUUCACUGCAUCCCCAGUACCAAGCACAGGGUUUGGCAGUAGUAGGUUCUCAGUAAACAGUUUUUGAGUAACUGUAUUAAAAGUCGUAAUAUGUAAACGGGCAUACAUAUGUAUAUACAAAUAAUUACAACAAUUCAAAAGAUGCCAUAAGGCUGCACUUUCAUGGUCAAGAGCCACCUUACUAGCGAUGAGUGCUAUGUUGUCAUAGGCUAGUGGUACUGUGGGCUGGAGUGUUCACAGAAGACUUGAUGGAGAAGUCUUGGUGGAAAGGAGCUAGGUUCUGAUGGAUAAACAGGAAUUCGGCGGGGGGAAAAAAAGAGUGGGACAGUUUAGAUAUCAGUCCUUAGUGCUCACGUCACUCUGAUGACUAAUGUGUACUCACUCCUGAAAUGAGGACUAAGUUCCCUUUGAAAUGCACAUGGACUUAAAAGUGAAGGGAAAAGGUCUUGGCAUGAUGUUCUCAGGUUCUGCCAAACCCUAAUGUUGUGUUUGGAGCCCUCCUCUGCCCCAUAGGCCACAAGAAUUCCCCUGUCCCAAUCCCAUACCCACAUCAAGCAUGUUUCCGAAUCUUCUGGGAAGCCACACAGUGAGCAGUCAGAUGUCUGAUCUUGCUUCAGAACAAGCAAGGCAAGAUCCGAGUUCAACCAGCAGAAAUUUCCUCGUUGGCUGUCAGUUUCCCUGAGCUCCAGGGUUGGGUGAAAGGUUUGGGGGACAAAUCUCUCUUUAUCAUGCAGUGAUUACAAGCAAAGCGAUGUGAGUGAGGACUUUUGUACCUGCCAGUCAAGAUGAUCAGUGUCACCAGAAGGCCACUAGGCUCACGAGCUCUUCUUUAAGUGGGAACCAACCCAACCAAUGCCAG
rnacentral:lncRNA from 1 species